rnacentral:rRNA from 1 species
AACGAACGCUGGCGGCAGGCCUAACACAUGCAAGUCGAGCGAAGCCUUCGGGCUUAGCGGCGGACGGGUGAGUAACGCGUGGGAACGUGCCCUUUGGUACGGAAUAGCCCCGGGAAACUGGGAGUAAUACCGUAUGUGGUCGAGAGACGAAAGAUUUAUCGCCAAAGGAUCGGCCCGCGUUGGAUUAGGUAGUUGGUGGGGUAAUGGCCUACCAAGCCGACGAUCCAUAGCUGGUUUGAGAGGAUGAUCAGCCACACUGGGACUGAGACACGGCCCAGACUCCUACGGGAGGCAGCAGUGGGGAAUCUUAGACAAUGGGGGAAACCCUGAUCUAGCCAUGCCGCGUGAUCGAUGAAGGCCUUAGGGUUGUAAAGAUCUUUCAGUGGGGAAGAUAAUGACUGUACCUGAGGAGGAAGCCACGGCUAACUACGUGCCAGCCGCCGCGGUAAAAC